rnacentral:RNase_P_RNA from 2 species
UCCUCUUCAACGCUGCGUUUCUAUGCUACAAACGGAGAGCCUGCGAAAGCAGUGCUUUCGAAUCUAUUACAAGCAUAUGAGAAAUUCGGAGAAUCCGCUUCACUCUUUGGCUCGUCCGUCUGCGCUUUCGGGCGUCCGAUGGGUCGCGGGCUCUGCCGGUGACGGCUUGGCGCGAUCACGCGUCUGUAAUUGGCAUCAGAAAAGCAGGGCAUGGGGCUGCCCCGUGGCAACGCGGGUGUUGGUUUCCAUGUUUCCUCUGGGAGAGCCGUUACGAAGCUUGUGCCCAACACUUGAGUGCAAUACGCAGCGUGCGGUCUCGUCUCCUCUGGGGAUGAGGCCGCACAAUUCGAUUCCGAUUAUUCUGUUGAGGA